rnacentral:rRNA from 1 species
GACGAACGCUGGCGGCGUGCUUAACACAUGCAAGUCGAACGGAAAGGCCCUGCUUUUGUGGGGUGCUCGAGUGGCGAACGGGUGAGUAACACGUGAGUAACCUGCCCUUGACUUUGGGAUAACUUCAGGAAACUGGGGCUAAUACCGGAUAGGAGCUCCUGCUGCAUGGUGGGGGUUGGAAAGUUUCGGCGGUUGGGGAUGGACUCGCGGCUUAUCAGCUUGUUGGUGGGGUAGUGGCUUACCAAGGCUUUGACGGGUAGCCGGCCUGAGAGGGUGACCGGCCACAUUGGGACUGAGAUACGGCCCAGACUCCUACGCGAGGCAGCGGUGGGGGAUAUUGCACUAUGGGCGGAAGCCUGAUGCAGCAUCGCCGCGUGCGGGAUGACGGCCUUCGGGUUGUAAACCGCUUUCGCCUGUGACGAAGCGUGAGUGACGGUAAUGGGUAAAGAAGCACCGGCUAACUACGUG